AUGGCCAUAUCAGGUGGACACAUCAUUCUCCAUACGAUCACCGAAGUUAAGCAACGCCGAGCCUGGUCAGCACCGACCUGGGUGACCGCUUGGAAAUACUAGUUGCUGUAAG